AUCCAUCCCCCAAGGGCAUUUCAGGGUUACUUCAUAUGAAUUUUGGGGAUGCUGUUUCAUGAUUUUAGAGAUUUGGGGGAGACCUAAACAUUUUUUAAGGAUUCUCUUCCUCCUCCCCUCAACAAUGCAUUGGGGUCCUCCCACCCCGGGUCUUCCAGCAUCCCAAAAUGCAUUGAGGUCGUCCCACCUCUGGUCCUCCAGCAUCCCGCAAUCCCAUGGAGUCCACCAGCAUCCCACAAUCCCAUGGGGUCCUCCAGCAUCCCACAAUCCCAUGGGGUCCUCCAGCAUCCCACAAUCCCAUGGGGUCCUCCCACCCCAGAUCCUCCAGCAUCCCACAAUCCCACGGGCUCCUCCCCACCUCACCCCACGUUGUCCAUCCACGUUUUCCAGUUCUUCUCAUGAAACUUGGGGAUGAGCUGAAGAUGCCCCGAUGCCACUGCCUUGUUGGGGGGGGAGGGAGAGAGGGAAAAAGGUCACCCCCCCCCA